UUAGAUAACUUGACAGUGCAAUUAUUAGAAAGUUUUUCUCCAUUUCACUUUAUUCUCUUGAGCCAUUAAUGUGUUCUUGUCCUUUCCUAAAUAUUUUGAUGUCUGAGUAAUGUUUUGGAAAUAGAAAAUCAAAUGAUGGAUCUCACGGAUCAAGUGAUAGCACCAGCAAUGAGAAUAAGACAAGACAGAAUUGAGAACCUUCCUUCAUGAUUACAGCACCAAAAUGUAAACUGGUUAGCUCUUGACUCAUUGUAUAAGUUGACUCAAAACAACAAGAAGAAAAAGAUGAAAACGAACAACCUAAGCUGGACUACUGACAAAUCAACAAGCCUGUUUUGCAAGUGAGAUGACUCAUUACCAUAGUGUUACAGGCCAAUUCACCUCGGAGGUUCUUAAUUUCAUAUUUUAUAUCCAUUGACAAAGAGGUUGGGCCUGUGAUAGGGUCAGAUUUGAGUCUUUCCAAACUUCAGUAGAUCUUUUAUCAUUGAUGCCUAUUAUCAUAGUGUGAUUUUGGUUUGCUUUGAAAGUUUUUCUGAGAUAUAUUCUCUACCUUCUGAUCUUAGAAGUGAAACAGUGAGAUGAUGAAGUACUAACUAUAACCAGUCACUUGGUCCUUGAAAACUCUUACUCAGUUCACCACAAUGUGCUGCAGUUAGAACUUGAUAAUCCUCAUGUAUUAUUAAUUGACCAAAUUAAAUAAAUAAUUAAAUUCUGA